rnacentral:rRNA from 1 species
CGGAGGGUGCAAGCGUUAUCCGGAUUCAUUGGGUUUAAAGGGUCCGCAGGCGGGCUUGUAAGUCAGGGGUGAAAGCCGACAGCUUAACUGUCGAACUGCCUUUGAUACUGCAAGUCUUGAGUGAGGUUGAAGUAGCUGGAAUGUGUAGUGUAGCGGUGAAAUGCUUAGAUAUUACACAGAACACCGAUAGCGAAGGCAGGUUACUAAGUCCUAACUGACGCUGAGGGACGAAAGCGUGGGGGAGCGAACAGGAUU